rnacentral:sRNA from 1 species
UUUUAGCCCCGAUGGAAGGGAAUAUCCUUUCUAGUCCUGAACUUGUUUCAGGAUCCUGAAACAAGUUCAGGACUAGAAAGAUCGGAAUGACAGCGGGAUUAGCU